rnacentral:piRNA from 2 species
UUUGAGCUGGACCUCGAAAGAUGGCAGGGA